rnacentral:rRNA from 1 species
AUUGAACGCUGGCGGCAGGCUUAACACAUGCAAGUCGAGCGGAGACUUCGGUCUUAGCGGCGAACGGGUGAGUAAUACCUAGGAAUCUGCCUAUUAGUGGGGGAUAACGAAUCGAAAGGUUCGCUAAUACCGCAUACGUCCUACGGGAGAAAGGGGGGGAUCUUCGGACCUCUCGCUAAUAGAUGAGCCUAGGCCGGAUUAGCUAGUUGGUAGGGUAAAGGCCUACCAAGGCGACGAUCUGUAGCUGGUCUGAGAGGAUGGCCAGCCACACUGGAACUGAGACACGGUCCAGACUCCUACGGGAGGCAGCAGUGGGGAAUAUUGGACAAUGGGGGCAACCCUGAUCCAGCCAUGCCGCGUGUGUGAAGAAGGCCUCGG